rnacentral:lncRNA from 1 species
ACGCGAGCCGGACUGCCCCUGGGCACGGAACUACACUACCCAGACUGCCACGGGGCGCGCAACUACCCUACCGUGGAUGCCCUGGAGCGAGGGACUACAACAUCCAGAAUGCUGCGAGGGGCGGGACCGCAGCAUCCAGGAGAAAUUGUGAAAAAUCAGAAAGUAAAAUCUAACUUUCGGGUCUAUGAGAAGGGUGGUCAGAUGGUGGAUUGGAAACAGUGUCAGCAUGACUCUCCCACUUGGAAAGACAAAAUGGGCUUAAUUAUUAGAUAAGGAUACGUUUCCAACUGAAGGUGGCAACGUUAUGCUGGAAGAACAUGUCAGGAAGACCACAAAAUUUCAUGACUGUACUUGCUACACUUUCAGCAGAAGAGUUAUACAUAUUUUCAAUUCAACAAAGAUUAAGCCAAAAAGAAUUCUUAGAACAUUCCCACUCUUCUUUGGCACAUCAAAAGGCAACAAAUGUCAUUUUCUCCCAUGUUUUUAUGUGCAGUUUAGAACAAAGACCAAUUAUCUAUGCAGCUGUCCACAGUGGAUAAAACAAAAAGCAUACAUUUGGUCCAGAGUUAAGUCACCUGGGUUGGGCCCAUCCAAGGAAGUUUGAUGUUUCUACUCUCAUGAAAAGUACCAAUGGCACUGCACAGUGAUUAUCUUAGAUAUUAAGGAUAAACACAAAUUUCUCCUUAAAUUUCCAUUUAUUGGAAAUGAUUGGAGGGAGGGAACUUCUCCCUCACCUCCACACUGCCUCUUUUCCAACUCUUCUUCCAACACAAAAUAGUUUAAACAGCAAGCACUUAGAGAGCUUUUAGCCUUGCUUGUUGAUUACAAGGCCCAAGUUAGUGUAUGGUUUGCCCAUCGGAGGAAAGCUAAAACAUGGGCCUUCAUGGGUAUUAAAAUUGAAGAAACCUUUUCCAGCAUUUUUUCUAUUUUCUUUAAAGUAACAACCUAUGGACUUCCCCAUCUGACAUUUUCGAGUGAUCCCACUGUGUGAAUGAAGGACUACUUCAGGGUUUGAGGGCAAAGCUGAAAUCUUAGCAACUUACCAGUGAGCAAAGGUAGAACCCAGAGCCCAUCUCUCCUUUUCCAGGCUGCUGAGUAAAGUCUGGCUCAAUCAACCUAUCAAUGAAGCAGUGCUUACAACAUUCUCCAAGACCACCCAAAACCCAAACUGGAAAUGAAUCAUGACUAAUCUGACUCAUUUUGGCUCACACAGUGCCCUUCCAAUUUGUAUUUACCUUUACCACCCAGGACCUGACCUUGGACAUGUGUACCAGGAUGUAAGGCAAUAAACCUAUUCACAAUUCCAAAAGGGCCUGGUCCUCUAUGAAGAUUUCCUGAAGGCUACUUACUUUCUCUACUCAUUAAAAUUUUUGCUUAACUUCAAAUUUCUGAAAUAUACCAUAUGUGAAAAAUUUAAA